UGGGCAAUAAACGGGUGAACGGCUCGCACGACAUUUCUCGAGACGUAUUCUUUUUGGAAGAUUCCUCAUUUCGACGUCGAGUUAGUUCCUUUGAAAAAAAAAAAAAGAGAAAAAUUCGAUUCGAUUUUUAACACGAUUAUUAUUCGAGCGAGAUUAAUCGAUGUGCUGUCCGAGAAGAUUUUUAAAUCGAACAUCCAAUUCAUCUUCGCGCGAUAUUUUUAAUACUGUAAUAUUUAGAGAUGGAUUCAUCGCAUCGCAAAUAAUUUCCACGUCCUACUGACUCACUCUUGUUCACCGUUUGCUACGAGGUAUUCAGAAACUAUUCGAGUCUUCCAGUUCUGGUGACCUACCGUCAGUGCGUCAUCCAUCGCAAGAGCUGCAUAUCUUAUUUCCAUAAUUUUACCAACAGAAAAAGAAGAAAAGAAAAUAGAAGGUCGAUGAUUUGCAUGAUAAUAAAAAGGUAAACGCUUACUUGACUGGUGUUGACCUCGCCGUCGGUCCUGGAGUCGGUGGCCGGGGUGGCGGCGUUCAAGAAACGCUCCUCGAGACGUUCUUGCAACUGCUGCGGGGUCUCCAGCUCCUCGGAGGUGUCGCCAGUCUCGACGAGCUCGCGAGCCUCCAUCGCGGUGUCCUCGAUUUUGCCGUCCAACGGAAGGACAACAUCGCCGGCUCGUGUCAGCUCCGGAGGUAGCCGUGCCCGGUCGUCGAUGCUGUCGUCGCUGUCAGCGACGGGCACCACAUCCGUGUCGGUGAUUCGCACGACAGGCGCCGUCGCCGGCUUCGGCGACGACGACGGCGGUGCGAUCGGUUCGUACUCGUGCUCGCUGUUACGAAAAGUUACUCGUUUUCUUCUUGCUCUAAUUGGCAUUCUUGCCCCUCUCUUUUCUUUUUUUUUUUUUGGUUAGUCUUUGAGUAAAAAUCGGUGGCUCGGAUAUCGUUACGGUUUUCUUACGGUAUACGAUUUAUUAUUAUACAGUUUGGAUUUUGUUAGUUUUUAAAUGGUCCUUUUCCGGUUAAUUUCUUCUUCAAAAACAUUUCUUGUUUGUUUAAUACGAGUUGAGUUUCAUUAAUUUGUGCGGUUGUGUUGUUUUUAUAUUGAUCAACUCGUGGCAGUUUAUAGCUCGAUGUUAUAUUGGUUUUUGGAGUGUGCGAUAGGUUAAAUACGAAUUCGUUAAUAUUUACGAAUUAUUUCCCAAUUUUAAUCGAUGUUCUGUUGAAUGUUAAUUACUUGAGCGUUAAUACAAAAAGACACUUACCAACUAGAUUAUGUGUUCAAGUUAAAUAAAUUGUUACAGUUUUGUCUUGAGCGUUGAUAUAUUUGUACCAUUAGCACGAAUACUGUUAGUUUCAAAAUCAGUCUUGUUAUUGAGCAAAUGCCAGGGAACGGAGGCUGGUCAAUCCGUGUUCGUUUCACUGGAAGCGGACGUCACAGUGGAAAUAGUAGGCACUGAUCGGGCAGAUAUUAUGUUUCCAGCGUUGAAGCAGAAUGUUCAUAGAUCACAAGGUUAAUUUGCAGACGGUUUGUUCGGGAGGGGUCAAUGUCGAAGGAAGAUAUUUGCUUAUUCCUCUUUUGUUCUACGCUGCUUCUCCAAAAACCGCAGGAAUACUGUUACAAUGAUAAACUCGAUUAAUUUUAUUAGUGAAUUUUUAAUAAAAUUAUUAUUUAUUAUGUAAUGUUUCUUUCUUCAAAUUUUCAAAUAUUCAAUUUCGAUAUUCUUUUAAUUACAUUUCGUAAUAAUUUAUAAAUAAUAUUUAUAAAAUCGAAUAUUGAAUUUAUGAAAUUCUUUUUCAUUUAAAUUGAAUAUUUGCAUAAAAAAUAUAUUUAAAUUUAAUAAUUUAAUAAUUCCCUGUUUUAAUAAAGCUAACGUAAUGAUCGACUAUGUAAAACUCGGAUAUUAUAUAGGUUAUCUAUAAGAAUCCUCGACAUAAAAUCUCAAGCUAUUUUGAAGGAUCGAGAAUUUCGAUUUUCCGCGGACUUGAUCAUCGAUAAUGAUACUUCCAUUAUCGCCAUACAAUAACUCGAUGUCCACUUAAUUGCAUCAAAUUAAAAUUCAAAUUUUGAGGUUAGAAUAGCUGUUGCUCGCUCGCAGCAAUCAUUUUCCUUUCUCCUGCUCCUCUCUCCCUAUUCUUUUUCUGAAAUUAUUCUAUGCAUACAGAUAUAAAUAAUUAUUCAUAAAAAUUUUUUAUACAUAUAAUUAAGUUAAAAAAAUAAUCAAGUUUAAUUUUCGACUGACAAGUAUCAAUUUUAUUUUGUAAUCGUAACAUUAAUUUAUGCUUGUUGCCAAUGUGCUAAUUAUCAACUGAUUUAGAGGUAAAAAUUUGUAUUUCAAUCAUGUCCAUACAAAUAUUGAAUUUAUACAUGAUAAACAUGUGCAAUUAUACGCAUUCAUAAUUGCGAUGAUAUACAUAUAUAAAUCACAUUUCAUGAUCUCGUAGACGUACAUUUAUGAUUAUCUCCGUACAGAGGAAAACUCACAGGCAUAUAUCAAGAAAGAUAGAUAGAGGGAUGCGAGAGGAGUUUGGACGCGGAACCGAGCUGACCGAGGAUUCUAUGUAUAGCCAGCCGGGCGAACCUUAAAUAGCUGUGGCGGUACGCGAGCAUAGUCGAGACGCGUAACCUAUACAACACCGUCUACUCUCCUUGUGCGUGUACGGAUGCCUAUCAGAAGGGAUAUUCAUUCGAAACUGGAAAAGGAAUGAACUGGCCUGGAUACCGAAUCUUUGGCAUUUGGUCCAAAGCAGGGUUUCUAAACGGGUUGCUUGGUUAUUUCGUGCACAUAUAAACGUAAGAUUAGAUGUAAUUCAACUACACAUACGUAUUACACAUACGUAUAUAGAGAAACAAAAUGGAUAUAGAAUCCAUAUAUAGAACUAUUGAUAAUUCUACGGACAAGUUUCAACGAGUGUUUCGAAUAGUCACAGUUACAAGUCUAUCGUCUAUAAUAAAAUCGUGUGUUAUCUUGUUGACUUGUUACUGACCUGCAGCGGACCGCAGGUGGCUGCUGCAUCGUCCUGGACGGCGGUCUACCGAGGAGAGCACGUCGUUCCGGCAGAAGCGAGUCGCUCUGGUAGUACUGACAGCCACAACGGACCUCGCGGCCGAGGCUCGACGUCGACGACGCUCGCGAGGUGCGUCCACGUUGCUCCGGCUCCAUCCCCACCCCCUUCGAUUCCACUUGUCCACCUCCAGUCUCCUCUUCCUCUCUGUCUACCUGAUGAUGUGGUGGCGCGUCUGGUCUAUUCACGAUCGCGCCCUUUCCUCCUCCGGUUUGAACACACCGUUUUCGUUCUUUUACUGCGUACCUUUCUUCGUUUUUUCUUUCGCGAGUUCUCGUUGCUUUCUUUUUUUUUUUGUUCUUAAUGCUAAGUUACACGAACGUCGAUAUGCUGGCGUUGCGCGACAUAAUUGUCACCACUCCGUGUGUUGCACGAAGAAAGGAAUAGAAAGAGGAAGAAACCGUGAACAGGAGAGAGAGAGAAAGAGAGAGAGAGAGAGAAAGAGGAAAGAUGGUUUUCUUACAGCAGCCCACUAGUGCAGCGACUUCUAGGCGACUCUGUACCCUCUCUGGCUCAUCUACGCAAUAUCGUCGCGGACAUCAGGAUUUAUUUAUAGAAACAUUUCGUGUCGGAUGUCUAUUAAUUCGACUGGGCAAAAUUCACCUGCACGCGCGUAUCAUUGUACCACCUGGCGGUCGUUACACGGAGCGCCACGCAGGCGCAGUGGAGGGAGCUUUCGGCGCGCGGGAAUUUGAUUUUUUUCGCAAGGUGCAUUGAGUUUUCCAAAGGGAAGUAUCACGAAUAUUAAUAGCGUUUUAUUUUUAAUCUUUAAAUACGUCUUAAUGAUAUCGUAUCAUAUUUAUUUACAAAUGUUGUUAAUAUUUAAGAUUAUUUUUUUUUUAUAAGAAUUUUAAUUUAUAUUAUAAUUUUGUCAUCUUUAUUUUAAUUUCGUUUAAAUCUUAAAUGAUUCGUGUUAGUAUAGAAAACAGAAGGGAAAAAUAUUGAUAUAACGCCAUGCAAAUUUAUUAUUAAUAUUUAAAAUUAUUUCUUAAAUUUUAUUUUAAUUCUUAUUUAUCUUGUCUCGUUUUAAAUUUAACUUUUCAACUGAGUUGGUAAUAAGAAUUUCUAGCAAAGCGUUAAAGAUAUUUAUACAUCAAAUUGUAAAUAUAUAUACCGCUUAUGGAUGAGAAUCAAUCUUUGAACUUAGAAUUGUAUUAGUGUUAGAAUUUUUUUAAACGUUAUUAUUUUUUAAAAAUUUUUCUGUAAGAAUUUCAAAAAGAUAACAAUUCCAUAGUUUUUUCUUUUUUUACUUAUUUUUAUCAUUAGAUAUAAAAAAUUUUUUACAGUUACUUUUAUAUUGCAAGGGAUUAAAAUGUUUAGCUGUUCGUCUUGUAAAUGGGUUUAUAACGUUGCACUUCUAGAUUCUUAGUCUUAAUUUUUUUCCACGACAAUAAUAUGAAACAGAAUAAUAAAAGAAUUGCUAUCUUCUUAACCCUCUAUUAUAAUUCAGAAACCAUGCGUUUCUUUUGCUGCAUCGUCGUAUUAAAAUGAAUCAAAAAAUUAUAAUUUAUAAUUUAUAAUUAGAAACUUUAUCUUAAUUGCUCUCUACGUGAUCCAGCAGGAUAAAUAAAUGAUUAUUGGCAAUAAUUCAAAAAUAUACGCCAAAUAUCAUUUAAAGGUUGUAAAUAAUAAUAAUAAUAAUAAUAAAGUAAAAUAUAUAAUAACGUUUAUUAUUUACAUAUAAUAUAUAUAUAGAUAUAAUGUAUGUUAUAACAAAUAAUAUAUGUGUAUAAAGAAAUAAUAUUUAUCGAAUAUUUAAUUAGACAAAGAAUCGAUCAUUUUCAUUUGCUUAGUUCAAAAAGUAUCGACAAGAAUAUCGAAUUAUGAUGUUUACGAUUAUAAAAACAGUACUUGUCAAGUUAAGUUCGUUAAAGUUCUUUAUGAAUUUAUAUUUUUCCUCCUGAAUCUUUCAAUUAAAAAUUUGGCCGAUUCAAGUAGAGAUCAAUUAAAAUAUUAACUGCGUUGCACAUAAUCCACGAUUUUUUUUCUGUAAUCGAAAAAAAAAAACUCUGAGUCAAUAGAGGGUUAUCGAAUGGUUGAUCGAAAAUGGUUAAUUUCACAACGAAAUAAAGCUUAAAUCUUUUAAAGAAUAUGGUUAUUAAUACCUUCUCUUCCAUUUCUUCUUUGUUUGCCAAUAUGAACCUCGCUCUGCGUCAAUCUUUCUACUCAGGUUUCUCUUGAACUGCUAAUUCUGUCGGAGGGUUCUGUUGCUUUUUUUCUCUUUUCUUUGGUUUUUUUUUUUUUUUUUUUUUUUUUUUAAUAAAA